rnacentral:rRNA from 1 species
AUUGAACGCUGGCGGCAGGCCUAACACAUGCAAGUCGAGCGAGCGGCGGACGGGUGAGUAAUGUAUGGGGACUGCCCGAUAGAGGGGGAUAACUACUGGAAACGGUAGCUAAUACCGCAUACUAUCGGAUAACCCAUAUGGGAUUAGCUAGUAGGUGAGGUAAUGGCUCACCUAGCCGACGAUCCCUAGCUGGUCUGAGAGGAUAGUCAGCCACACUGGGACUGGGACCCGACCCAGACUCUUACGGAGGCACCAGGGGGGAAUAUUGCACAAUGGGGGCAAGCCGAAUGCUGCCAUGCCGCGUGUAUGAAGAAGGCCCUAGGGUGGUAAAGUACUUUCAGUCGGGAGGCGUUACCGACAGAAGAAGCACCGGCUAACUCCGUGCCAGCAGCCGCGGUAAUAC